CCUACGGGGGGCUGCAGUCGAGAAUCUUCCUCAAUGGACGAAAGUCUGAAGGAGCAAUGCCGCGUGAUCGAUGAAGCCCCUCGGGGUGUAAAGAUCUUUUAUCAGGGACGAAUUAUUGACGGUACCUGAAGAAUAAGUCACUGCUAACUUCGUGCCAGCAGCAGCGGUAAUACGAAGGUGGCAAGCGUUACCCGGAUUGAUUGGGCGUAAAGCGUCCGUAGACUGUUUGAAAAGUUCUUGGUUAAAUCUGUGGGCUCAACCCAUAGACCGCCAAGAAUACUGUCAGACUAGAGAUUGGGAGAGGUAAGCGGAAUUGCCGGUGUAGUAGUAAAAUGCGUUGAUAUCGGCAAGAACACCAAAAGCGAAGGCAGCUUACUGGAACAAUUCUGACGCUCAGGGACGAAAGCGUGGGUAGCGAAUGGGAUUAGAUACCCCGGUAGUC
rnacentral:rRNA from 1 species